ensembl:misc_RNA 7SK 7SK RNA
AGAUCCACUGGCCGUGAUGCCCCUCACCCCACAGGGUUGUUCCGGCUGAUCUGGCUGGCUAGGCAGUGUUCCCAUCCUCCCCCCCCACUCCGUGUGCAUCCGUCCCACGGCUGUGUACUCCGUGGAAUAGGACAACCUUCCCUGACAGAGGAAGACCAUUCUUUGGUCAAGGGCAUAGAAAUAUCUGCCCUCUCCUGCUCGAAUGGCUAAAGGCGCUCUCAAGGUCCAUUUGUAGGAGAACGUAGGGUAGUCAAGCCUCCAAGACUCCAGACACAUCCGAAUGAGGGACUGCACAUGGCGUCUGCCUUACAUU